rnacentral:tRNA from 1 species
GAGGGUAUAGCUCAAGUGGUAGAGCACAUGCUUAGCAUGCACAAGGUCCUGGGUUCAAUCCCCAGUACUUCCU